UUCCUCUGUUUCGUUAUGGCCUUAUGGGACAGGAGGCCUCACCGGAGAACUCGCUGGAGUUUGCUUUAGGGUUGGGAGUUCGGAGAUCUCUGAAGGGAGGGUCGUCAGCGGAGGAUGAGGCUGCGGCGAAGAUUGCGGCGGCCAUCUUCGACCCGCCGCGGCCAUCGUGGCAGGUGGUCGGGGCAACAGGCUACAUCGCGAAUCCGGGCACAUUUCCGAACGAUUUCUGAUGAGAAGAUCCAAAACCAAGUGAGCUGUGAGAUUGCAACAUACCGAGUUGUCCAAUUUUCUGUCCACAAUGCAGGCUUGCUAGGUGAAACAAUGUAAUAAUGAACACUAACAAUUGGGUCUGGGGCAUCGUUUUGCUUGCACAUCAUCCAUGGAACACCUGUCUGGAGACCUACAGCCAUUUCAGCUGCCCAACGGACAUAACGCGGGCCACCUGAGCCAAAUGCAGGCUCAACCAUCUGGGUUCAUUGUCUGUUCGGAAGGUGAUGUUUGGAACAUCAUGUAGCCAAAAUGGAAACCCUCUGCAUGAACACAAGAUACCCAGCAUUUGUUCAGACAUAUUUAUGCAUGUUUUGAAUUGAAAAAGACACCUACCUGGCCCUGGACAGGCUCGUGAACAUUCCAAAAGACGUAUGUUUGUAUGACAUCGAGGCCACCCUUCCUGGCGUUCGCUAUGAGUUUUGGCCACAUCUGUCAAUUGAAAUACGCAAAAACUGAUUUGGUGAUGAAUCAGAAGAAGUAGCUCAUUAGAGAAUGCCAACAAGCUAGGAAGCAGUAUGGAAGUUCAGUUCAAACGUUGCCUAAUAUUUGACCUUUGUCUCAUCUCCGGAAGAGGAUCCACAUUUUUUCUACUCGAUAGAUACUUUGAAGAGUUGUCUCCCUCCCUCUACUUGUGCAAUUCUGCGGUCCAUUUAUUGCCUAGCACCCCUGAACUAUGAGGUAUGCCUCAAAAUUUUACCAGUGACUUUUUAGCCGUGCAAGUUUGAUAUUGGUUUACCAAGGGGAAUUAUUACAUGUAAAGCGAGUAAUGUUUUGCUGAGGAUGUCAGAGAUAGAUGAAAUGACAGCCGGAGGUAUUACUAA